GAUUGAGUGUUCCGGUGAAUUAUUCGGACUGUCCUGUAUUAUAUGUUGCAAGACAUAUAGACAGGAUGGAAAGUUUUGUGAACCUUAACACUUAGAGGAAGGAGAAGUCGUAACAAGGUUUCCGUAGGUGAACCUGCGGAAGGAUC
rnacentral:rRNA from 1 species